UAAAAUGGCCUUAGCACCCUUACCGUGCCUGAUCUCGUCUGAUUUCAGAAGCUAAGCGUGGUUAGGCCUUGUUAAUACUUGGAUGGAAGACAGUGUGGGAAUACCAGGUGCUGUAAGCU
rfam:Danio rerio chromosome 9, GRCz11 reference primary assembly.